GCCCAAAAGUAGCUGGUGGAGAUCCCAGAAGGUCUCAUUCAGAGAAGAAGAGUCUGGGUGCUCCAGGCGUCUGAGCAGCCAAUGGAGUGAGUGGGGGUCUGACCGAUGGCAGCUGGAACAUCAUGGAAUCCGCCAGGCCUUGAGAUGACGAACUAUGUUGACUUCCUCCUGGCAUUUGGGAGAACCUGUAGUGGUUCUUGGCUCUGGAUGUAUGGUGGCAUCAUUUAAAGAUGUUUGGAUAAACAAGUAUCAGUGCACAACCCUGCCUCCAAACCUAUUGAACAAAAACCUUUCAGACUAAGUUUAACUAACCUGAAUCUAGAAGGUGAGGCCAGGCAUCUCCCAUUUCUUUUCCCCAAGUCUAGGGCCCUGAGUUACUUCUCCAGAAUCCACCUUCUGACAAACUACUCCCAGGAGGCCAUUUCUCAGGUGUGUUUAGCUGAGUGGGAAGGUGUGGUGUGGAGUAAACAAUUGGGCUGGGCUUGGUCUCUGACAUUGGUGCUGCUCAUCUGACCUGGACUGUCUGAGCCCCAUGGAGAGAAAGGCUAUGGGGGAGAAUGGGGCAAUGAGGGGUGAGCAUGGCACGGCUUUGGGUGGGAGCCAUGACCACGGUGUAGAGAAGAGAGGAUGUCUGCUUCACCUGUGUGUGGCAUACAGCAGGGCCUCAGAGCUGAAAAACACCCCACUCUGCCCGGACAAGGCUGGUGGUACCAGGAAAAUGGAAUGUCUGUGGGUCAGCGCUGUGGGCACUGACCUGCAGGAUGGAAGAGAGGGCAAGAGGUAUCAUGAGCCUAUGUAAAGACUCUCUGGUGACUCUUCAAAGUCAGGGUGUAUGUGUAUGGGUGGGAGUGUGUGUGUGUGUGUGUGUGUGUGUGUGUGUGUGUACCUACACAUGUAUUUCUCAAGGGGUUAGAGGUCCUGCAUCAUGAGUCUGGAAAAGGUCCAAGGAUACCUGGGCUGAUGUCCUUCCUGUGGACCCUUCACUGUAGCUAUUGGCUGGGAUGCUAGGAUCACAGGUUGAUCCAGGCUUGGCUCCCAUCCCAUCUCUGGGUGCACAUGACCCGCAGUGACUAAGGGGUGAAGGAAAGAAACCAUUAGCAUUUACACCUGUCUUUGGAACUCAGUAAGUCUAUGUUCCAUGAAAUGCAUAUAAAUCCCAAGUCUCAGUGCUAUACUUUGCCUAAGAUCCGACUCUCUUGUCCACCAGCAGCCAUACGAAAUCAUCUUCUCUGAAGACCAGAUCAAAUUUUGCUUUCUUCAGGUAUCUUCCUUGAUCUCCAUCAGCUACAAACCUCUCUUCACCUUCUCUUUUGUGGGGUCCAUCAUUUUGUGGUUCUCUUGUUGGAGUUUACCACUUUCUUCCCUAGGUAACUGCUAAUCACAUUUGUCUGUGGGACAUGCAGUGGACACUCAUCAUUUAUAGUCUUCCAUUUUCCCAGCAGAUGGAAACUCCUUGAGCACAGAGCCCAGUUGUCAUAGUCUGUCUAGAUUGCUACAACAGAAUACCAUAGACUGUGUGGCUUAACCAACACUUACUUCUCACAGCUUUGGAGGCUGGAGGUCCAACACAAAGGUGCCAACAGCUUUGGUAUCUAGUGAGGACACGCUUCCUGGUUCAUAGAUGACCAUCCUCUGGCUGUGUCCUCAAAAGGAAGAAGGGGUAAAGGGGCUCCCUAGGGUCCCUAUUUUAAGGGCACAAACAACUACUCAUGAGAGCUUCACCCUCAUGACCUAAGCACCUUCCAAAGACCCCAUUUCCUAAUGCUAAUAUUGGGUGUUCAGAUUUACCAUUAGAAUCUGGGGUGUGGGGGCGUUCAGCCUAUGACACCCACUCUUAGCCCUCCUACAAGUCAGUGCACUCAGGAAAGGCACAGGAACAUGUUUGCUGGACAUGAAUGGUUAACCCCCGCGUCCUUCCAGCUGAACUACCAUGGGCAUUUUGCUUGGAAAAAUAGGCUUCAUAAAGAGACUCUUCUUACUGUUUAAAGAGUCAUUUGUGCUUAAUGUUGUUUGGCUUAGGCACCUGUAGGGGUCUUUUCUGAUUAGACUUUGUAUCCCCCUGAGCCAGUAGGCAUGGAGUGCAUGGAAUUCUCUGCUGGCUGGUUGAAUUAAGUAAAUAUUUAGGGUUUGGGGCAAAGCAUCCUCACUAGGUACCCAAACAAAUUGACUAGACAAGCAGUUCCCAACUUCUAAGGAACUGAGGAGCAGCCUAUUUUAAUGGUAAAAACUUGCACAGAUUUUCACUCUAUGGUGGUUGUGCUUUUCAGAAUCUGUUAAUUGAGCACCUAUAUAAUGACAAAAUGCAAUGGAUAAGUUAAGGAAUCGUUUAUGAGUUUUUUGUUUGUAUUUUUUUUUUAAAUUUGUUCAAUUAAUAAACAUACAGUACAUCA